rnacentral:rRNA from 1 species
GAUGAACGCUGGCGGUAUGCUUAACACAUGCAAGUCGAACGAUCCUUUUGGAUAGUGGCGGACGGGUGAGUAACGCGUGAGUUAUCAACGCUUAGGAGAGGAAUAUCAAAUGGAAACGUUUGUUAAUACCUCAUAAUGCUAUUUAGCUAAAGAUUUUUCGCCUAAGCACGAGCUUGCGUCUGAUUAGCUAGUUGGUAGAGUAAUAGCCUACCAAGGCUUUGAUCAGUAGCUGGUCUGAGAAGAUGAACAGCCACACUGGGAUUUAGAACGGAACAGACUCCUACGGGAGGCAGCAGUGGGGAAUAUUUGGCAAUGGGCGAAAGCUUGACCAAGCAAUACCGCGUGGAGGAUGAAUGCUUUAGGGUUGUAAACUCCUUUUCUGAUUGAGGAAAUUCUGACAGUAUUUCAGGAAUAAGCAUCGGCUAACUUCGUGCCAGCCGCCGCCGUAAUAC